rnacentral:rRNA from 1 species
UCCGAAAGGUGACCGACCUUCGGGGAGCCAUUUACAGGUGUUGCAUGGCUGUCGUCAGCUCGUGUCGUGAGAUGUUCGGUUAAGUCCGCUAACGAGCGCAACCCUCGCUGUGUGUUAUAUGUGUCACACAGGACUGCUGGUAUUAAGCGGAGGAGGUGGGACGACGUCAAGUCAGCAUGACCUUUAUAUCCAGGGCUACACACACGCUACAAUGGUCAGUACAAUGGGUUGCCAAGCCGCGAGGCGGAGCCAAUCCUAAAAAGCUGGCCUCAGUUCAGAUUGCAGUCUGAAACUCGACUGCAUGAAGUCGGAGUUGCUAGUAAACGCAGGUCAGCUAUACUGCGUUGAAUACGUUCCCGGGGCUU